AUUGAACGCUGGCGGCAUGCUUUACACAUGCAAGUCGAACGGUAACAGGUUAAGCUGACGAGUGGCGAACGGGUGAGUAAUGCAUCGGAACGUGCCCGAUCGUGGGGGAUAACGCAGCGAAAGCUGCGCUAAUACCGCAUACGAUCUGAGGAUGAAAGCGGGGGACCGUAAGGCCUCGCGCGAUCGGAGCGGCCGAUGUCAGAUUAGGUAGUUGGUGGGGUAAAGGCCCACCAAGCCGACGAUCUGUAGCCGGUCUGAGAGGACGACCAGCCACACUGGGACUGAGACACGGCCCAGACUCCGACGGGAGGCAGCAGUGGGGAAUUUUGGACAAUGGGCGAAAGCCUGAUCCAGCAAUGCCGCGUGCAGGAAGAAGGCCUUCGGGUUGUAAACUGCUUUUGUACGGAGCGAAAAGGUCCUUUCUAAUACAAGGGGCUCAUGACGGUACCGUAAGAAUAAGCACCGGCUAACUACGUGCCAGCCGCCGCGGUAA
rnacentral:rRNA from 1 species